rnacentral:rRNA from 1 species
GACGAACGCUGGCGGCGUGCUUAACACAUGCAAGUCGAACGGAAAGGCCUCUUUCGGGGGGUACUCGAGUGGCGAACGGGUGAGUAACACGUGAGUAACCUGCCCUUGACUUUGGGAUAACUUCAGGAAACUGGGGCUAAUACCGGAUAGGAGCUCCUGCUGCAUGGUGGGGGUUGGAAAGUUUCGGCGGUUGGGGAUGGACUCGCGGCUUAUCAGCUUGUUGGUGGGGCAGUGGCUUACCAAGGCUUUGACGGGUAGCCGGCCUGAGAGGGUGACCGGCCACAUUGGGACUGAGAUACGGCCCAGACUCCUACGGGAGGCAGCAGUGGGGAAUAUUGCACAAUGGGUGGAAGCCUGAUGCAGCAACGCCGUGUGCGGGAUGACGGCCUUCGGGUUGUAAACCGCUUUCGCUCAUGACGAAGCUUUGUGUGACGGUAGUGGGUAAAGAAGCACCGGCUAACUACGCG